UACAGAGGGUGCAAGCGUUGUUCGGAAUUACUGGGCGUAAAGCGCACGUAGGCGGCUUUGUAAGUUAGAGGUGAAAGCCCAGGGCUUAACCCUGGAAUUGCCUUUAAGACUGCAUCGCUAGAAUUGUGGAGAGGUAAGUGGAAUUCCGAGUGUAGAGGUGAAAUUCGUAGAUAUUCGGAAGAACACCAGUGGCGAAGGCGGCUCACUGGCCCGGUACUGACGCUCAGGUGCGAAAGCGUGGGGAGCAAACAGG
rnacentral:rRNA from 1 species